GACGAACGCUGGCGGCGUGCUUAACACAUGCAAGUCGAACGGCAAGGCCCUGCUUUUUUGGGGUGCUCGAGUGGCGAACGGGUGAGGAACACGUGAGUAACCUGCCCUUGACUUUGGGAUAACUUCAGGAAACUGGGGCUAAUACCGGAUAGGAGCUCCCGCUGCAGGGUGGGGGGUGGAAAGUUGCGGCGGGUGGGGAUGGACUCGCGGCUUAUCAGCUUGUUGGUGGGGGAGUGGCUUACCAAGGCUUUGACGGGUAGCCGGCAUGAGAGGGUGACCGGCGACAUUGGGACUGAGAUACGGCCCAGACUGCUACGGGAGGCAGCAGUGGGGAAUAUUGCACAAUGGGCGGAAGCCGGAUGCAGAAACGCCGCGUGCGGGAUGACGGUCUUCGGGUUGUAAACCGCUUCCGCCUGUGACGAAGCGUGAGUGACGGUAAUGGGUAAAGAAGCACCGGCUAACUACGUG
rnacentral:rRNA from 1 species